rnacentral:lncRNA from 1 species
UAAGUGGAAGCCUUCUAACUUUUUGUUGAGCUAGCUAAUAGAACGUUUCUAUCUCUCUUUCUUUUUUUUUCUUGCAGGUUUACAAGGAAAUGACUUUGACCUCAGCUACUUAGAGAUGAGCUGAAGCAGUCAGAGCUUUGCAUAAGGGAAGAAGAUUUUGCAAGUUUUUGAUUAUUGACUCCAACUUGUUCCAGGCAGGGUUGUUUCAAUCUAUUUCCUCGACCUCAACAACAGCCAGUGCUUCUUCUUCAGCUCUUACUAUCUCUAGUAAGGAGUUUGAAACAAUUGUCUUCUCGAUAUUACUCUAUUUCUAUAGUCAAUAAUUAUAUAUGAGUAAGAACAACCAAACUCAAUCACUGAUCUUAAGUGCUGAAAUUUUUCCUUCUUGUGCAGGUUGAGAUCCAGGUAUGUUGGUGUAUAAGGCUGCGUAGGCAGUAGUUGGAAAUAAGAGCAAAAAGAGGGAGGCCCUAAUUCAGGUUGAAAGCCAACCUCCCAUUACUGAGGCCGAGGCUUAGUAGAAGAUUCAACCAUUGAAGUAUAACCACUCGAGGUAUUGCCACCUGGGGAGCAUAUAACGGUCUUAUCUCCAGAGCGAUUUUCUCUAGUAUUGUCCAUACAGGGGCCGAGCUUUGCGCCUUUUCCCGGUCUUCCUAUUGCUUGGGCUAGCCCUUCCAGGUCACAAUAGAGGUGCCUAGACUUGCAAAGGCUAAGUUUGGACGGUUUGGUGGCCUAUCAACCUCACAUUCUUCUGGACUUUCUCCGCACUCUAUCUCUAUUGAGAAAGUCCAAACUGUAAUCCCAUCUAUCCUCAACAAAUUAGCCAACCUUCUCAUGAGGAGCUGGAAUGAGAAGGAGUAGAGCUUUUUCACGAAAAUGCUAGUUGGGGAGGUGUCAUAUCUAUCCAGGCCACAACCACAAACCCAUUUUGUAUAUGAUGUUUGUGGCUGAUAAAGUACAAUACUCACUUCAUUCUUUAGGGCUCAAACUCUACUUUCAUAUUGUUCCAGGUGAAGGCUAAGCUCGAUAAGAUGCUUGAGGUUAAGAACCAAGCAGUAGGCCUCUACGAGAGCAUGGAGGUGAAUAAGAUGAGGUUCACUGAAAGAGAGAGAGAGAAUAUGAAGAUUGCCUUACAAAAAUGGGAAUAGAGUUAGAGGCAAAAUUGGCUUUGGAGCUGAGGUUAAUGGAUGAUAAUGAAGUCUUAAAGAUGCCAGAGAAGAAGGCCUGUCAGCGAGUAGCUACUGCAAAGAAGAAGGCUGAAGAGGAGCGAGCUUGGGCUGAAGAGGAGCGAGCUUGGGCUGAUGAUGUAGUGAAGAGAGCUGAAGAGGCCACCAAGAGGGCAGAGGAGGCUAAGGCCAAGGCCAUCAUUGUAGUCGAUCUUUGGAGGACCUCUCCUAAGUUUGAUGCCUUAGCUCAGGACACUUAUAUGGUAGCUCUGGAGGAGAUAGUGAAACACAUCGACAAGGAGAGACCGAACAUCGAUACUGUCUUCUUGGUGAAGGUUCUGGACAAGCAUAAGGAGGAGCUUUAGAAUCUAUCUGAAGCGACGGGGGUUUCCAUCCUGAUGAAAAUAUCAAGGAGAAUGCCCUCGUCCUUCAAGAUCCGCCACCACAUCAG